CAGUCGCCGCGGUAAAACGAAGGGUGCAAGCGUUACUCGGAAUUACUGGGCGUAAAGCGUGCGUAGGUGGUGGUUUAAGUCCGUUGUGAAAGCCCUGGGCUCAACCUGGGAAUUGCAGUGGAUACUGGGUCACUAGAGUGUGGUAGAGGAUAGUGGAAUUUCCGGUGUAGCGGUGAAAUGCGUAGAGAUCGGGAGGAACAUCAGUGGCGAAGGCGGCCAUCUGGGACAACACUGACGCUGAGGCACGAAAGCGUGGGGAGCAAACAGGAUUAGAGACCCCAGUAGUUCCUGUCUCUUAUAC
rnacentral:rRNA from 1 species